rnacentral:tRNA from 1 species
GAAUAUGAAACGAUUUAUUGUAAUUAGUUUCGACCUAAUCUUAGGUAUAAUAUACCCUUAUUCU